GGGCGUGGCGGAGGCGGAGCUGGAGAAGGACAUCGGGAGGACCCUGAAGAUCCUGAUCCGAUCCUCCAGCCCCGAGGAUCGGCUGCCCUUCAACCUCGACCUGCACCGCGUCCGGGAGAGAGGGGGUCUCCUGGUGGGGCUCCCCUCCGAUCCCC